AAUCAGCCGUACUCCGAAUGCCUAGNAUUUAAGUUGAUCAUGGCUCAGAUUCAACGCUAUNAGGGAUGCCUUACACAUGCAAGUCGAACGGCAGCACGGACUUCGGUCUGGUGGCGAGUGGCGAACGGGUGAGUAAUGUAUCGGAACGUGCCCAGUAGCGGGGGGUAACUACGCGAAAGCGUAGCUAAUACCGCAUACGCCCUACGGGGGAAAGCAGGGGGUCGCAAGACCUUGCACUAUUGGAGCGGCCGAUAUCGGAUUAGCUAGUUGGUGGGGUAACGGCUCACCAAGGCGACGAUCCGUAGCUGGUUUGAGAGGACGACCAGCCAACACUGGGACUGAGACACGGCCAGACUCCUACGGGAGGCAGCAGUGAGGGAAUUUUGGACAAUGGGGGAAACCUGAUCCAGCCAUNCCGCGUGUGCGAUGAAGGCCUUCGGGUUGUAAAGCACUUUNUGGCAGGA
rnacentral:rRNA from 1 species